UACAGAGGGUGCUAGCGUUGUUCGGAAUCAUUGGGCGUAAAGGGCGUGUAGGCGGUUUGUUAAGUCAUGUGUGAAAUCCCUCGGCUCAACCGGGGAACGACGCAUGAAACUGGCAAGCUAGAGUACCAAAGAGGGGGGUGGAAUUCCCGGUGUAGCGGUGAAAUGCGUAGAGAUGUGGAGGAACACCGAUGGCGAAGGCAGCCCCCUGGGUUAACACUGACGCUCAGGCACGAAAGCGUGGGGAGCAAACAGG
rnacentral:rRNA from 1 species